rnacentral:rRNA from 1 species
AAUUUGAAAUCUGGCCCCUUCGGGGUCCGAGUUGUAAUUUGUAGAGAGUGCUUCGGGUGAGACCGCGGUCUAAGUCCAUUGGAACAUGGCGUCCCAGAGGGUGAGAAUCCCGUAUGUGACUGCGGCUCGAGCCCAUGUGAAGCCUCUUCGACGAGUCGAGUUGUUUGGGAAUGCAGCUCUAAAUGGGUGGUAAAUUUCAUCUAAAGCUAAAUACUGGCUGGAGACCGAUAGCGCACAAGUAGAGUGAUCGAAAGAUGAAAAGCACUUUGGAAAGAGAGUUAAACAGUACGUGAAAUUGUUGAAAAGGAAGCGCUUGCAACCAGACCUGUCCGUAGGCGAUCACCCGCUGUUCUCAGCGGUGCACUCGUUCUGCGAUCAGGCCAGCAUCGGUUCGGGCGGCCGGAUAAAGGCCUUGGGAAUGUAGCUCUCCUUCGGGGGAGUCUUAUAGCCCUCGGUGCAAUGCGGCCAGCCGGGACCGAGGACCGCGCUUCGGCUAGGAUGCUGGCGUAAUGGUUGUAAGCGACCC